UAUGACUGCGCAUCGCAUGGUGUGUGGUGGAAAGAUUUUUGGUGGAGGAUGGACUCGCGGCCUAUCAGCUUGUUGGUGAGGUAGUGGCUCACCAAGGCUUUGACGGGUAGCCGGCCUGAGAGGGUGACCGGCCACACUGGGACUGAGACACGGCCCAGACUCCUACGGGAGGCAGCAGUGGGGAAUAUUGCACAAUGGGCGAAAGCCUGAUGCAGCGACGCCGCGUGAGGGAUGACGGCCUUCGGGUUGUAAACCUCUUUCACCAGGGACGAAGCUUUUUGUGACGGUACCUGGAGAAGAAGCACCGGCUAACUACGUGC
rnacentral:rRNA from 1 species